rnacentral:rRNA from 1 species
GAUGAACGCUGGCGGCGUGCCUAAUACAUGCAAGUCGAGCGAACAGACGAGGAGCUUGCUCCUCUGACGUUAGCGGCGGACGGGUGAGUAACACGUGGAUAACCUACCUAUAAGACUGGGAUAACUUCGGGAAACCGGAGCUAAUACCGGAUAAUAUAUUGAACCGCAUGGUUCAAUAGUGAAAGACGGUUUUGCUGUCACUUAUAGAUGGAUCCGCGCCGCAUUAGCUAGUUGGUAAGGUAACGGCUUACCAAGGCGACGAUGCGUAGCCGACAUGAGAGGGUGAUCGGCCACACGGGAACUGAGACACGGUCCAGACUCCUACGGGAGGCAGCAGUAGGGAAUCUUCCGCAAAGGGCGAAAGCCUGACGGAGCAACGCCGCGUGAGUGAUGAAGGUCUUCUGAUCGUAAAACGCUGUUAUUAGGGAAGAACAAAUGUGUAAGUAACUAUGCACGUCUUGACGGUACCUAAUCAGAAAGCCACGGCUAACUACGUG